UCGCGGCCUAUCAGCUUGUUGGUGGGGUAGUGGCCUACCAAGGCGACGACGGGUAGCCGGCCUGAGAGGGUGACCGGCCACACUGGGACUGAGACACGGCCCAGACUCCUACGGGAGGCAGCAGUGGGGAAUAUUGCGCAAUGGGCGGAAGCCUGACGCAGCGACGCCGCGUGGGGGAUGACGGCCUUCGGGUUGUAAACCUCUUUCAGCAGGGACGAAGCGGAAGUGACGGUACCUGCAGAAGAAGCACCGGCCAACUACGUGCCAGCAGCCGCGGUAAUACGUAGGGUGCAAGCGUUGUCCGGAAUUAUUGGGCGUAAAGAGCUCGUAGGCGGUUUGUUGCGUCGGCUGUGAAAUCCCGAGGCUCAACCUCGGGUCUGCAGUCGAUACGAGCAAACUAGAGUGUUGCAGGGGAGACUGGAAUUCCUGGUGUAGCGGUGAAAUGCGCAGAUAUCAGGAGGAACACCGGUGGCGAAGGCGGGUCUCUGGGCAACAACUGACGCUGAGGAGCGAAAGCGUGGGGAGCGAACAGGAUUAGAUACCCUGGUAGUCCACGCCGUAAACGUUGGGCGCUAGGUGUGGGGCUCAUUCCACGAGAAGCUUGGAAUUCG
rnacentral:rRNA from 1 species